GCGAAUGAUUAGAGGCCUUGGGGUCGAAACGACCUCAACCUAUUCUCAAACUUUCAAUGGGUGAGAAGUCCGGAUUGCUUGACUGAAUCCCGGACGCAUGGAUGUGAGUUUCAAGUGGGCCACUUUUGGUAAGCAGAACUGGCGCUGUGGGAUGAACCAAACGCCGGGUUACGGUGCCCGAUGCAGACGCUCAUGAGACCCCAUGAAAGGUGUUGGUUGCUACAGACAGCAGGACGGUGGCCAUGGA
rnacentral:rRNA from 1 species